UACGGAGGAUUCAAGCGUUAUCCGGAUUUACUGGGUGUAAAGGGAGCGUAGACGGCGCGGCAAGUCUGAAGUGAAAGGCAGGGGCUUAACCCCUGAACUGCUUUGGAAACUGCCAUGCUAGAGUGCUGGAGAGGUAAGUGGAAUUCCUAGUGUAGCGGUGAAAUGCAUAGAUAUCACGCAGAACUCCGAUUGCGAAGGCAGCAUACCGGCGCCCAACUGACGCUGAAGCACGAAAGCGUGGGUAUCGAACAGG
rnacentral:rRNA from 1 species